rnacentral:rRNA from 1 species
UUUGAUCCUGGCUCAGAUUGAACGCUGGCGGCAGGCCUAACACAUGCAAGUCGAGCGGCAGCACGGGAAGCUUGCUUCCUGGUGGCGAGCGGCGGACGGGUGAGUAAUGCAUAGGAAUCUGCCCGGUAGUGGGGGAUAACCUGGGGAAACCCAGGCUAAUACCGCAUACGUCCUACGGGAGAAAGCAGGGGCUCUUCGGACCUUGCGCUAUCGGAUGAGCCUAUGUCGGAUUAGCUGGUUGGUGAGGUAAUGGCUCACCAAGGCGACGAUCCGUAGCUGGUCUGAGAGGAUGAUCAGCCACAUCGGGACUGAGACACGGCCCGAACUCCUACGGGAGGCAGCAGUGGGGAAUAUUGGACAAUGGGCGCAAGCCUGAUCCAGCCAUGCCGCGUGUGUGAAGAAGGCCCUCGGGUUGUAAAGCACUUUCAGUGGGGAAGAAAGCCUUCCGGUUAAUACCCGGGAGGAAGGACAUCACCCACAGAAGAAGCACCGGCUAACUCCGUGCCAGCAGCCGCGGUAAUACGGAGGGUGCGAGCGUUAAUCGGAAUUACUGGGGCGUAAAGCGCGCGUAGGUGGCUUGAUAAGCCGGUUGUGAAAGCCCCGGGCUCAACCUGGGAACGGCAUCCGGAACUGUCAGGCUAGAGUGCAGGAGAGGAAGGUAGAAUUCCCGGUGUAGCGGUGAAAUGCGUAGAGAUCGGGAGGAAUACCAGUGGCGAAGGCGGCCUUCUGGACUGACACUGACACUGAGGUGCGAAAGCGUGGUAGCAAACAGGAUUAGAUACCCUGGUAGUCCACGCCGUAAACGAUGUCGACUAGCCGUUGGGUCCUUCGCGGACUUGUGGCSCAGUAACGCGAUAAGUCGACCGCCUGGGGAGUACG